UAAAGAUGCAAGAAGUCAAGACAGGGCUGGAGGGGAAAGAAAGCCAGGCCGAUGGAUGACUCCUUGCUUCUCCCUGACAGGGAUGCAGGUAUGUGGGAAGGACCCUUGCACUGAUCUCCUGACCCUUAUCAGCUCCCGAUAAAUGCAGAAGAUCGAAUGUGAAACCCAGAUACAUUAGAUCCGGGAGAUGGAAGGAUCCAGAGACCCUACCUCACUCCAUCAGAGCAACUCAGCCUGGACACACCCACUGGCCCACACUGAACCACUGUGAACUGAAUGAAUAUGUGUUGGAUUAUGAUGGACAUUGGAAUGGUCAGUAAGGCAGCCAACACUACUCUGCCUGCCUGAUACAUGUAUUUGAAAACUAAUAUAUUGCUGAUGUGUGGGGGCCUUAGUAGGAGCUAAGAACAAAAAUAUAAAUACACAUUUUAAAUAGUGGUCCUCUUGAAGAUAGUGGAUUAUAUGAAGAGAUAUAACAGACGGUAAAAGAAUGUUCUUGUUGUAGUUACAUGCUAAUAUACUCUACCUAAUGACACCAAGUCCAAGCAAAGGGAAACCUGACAGUCUGCCUUCCCCCUUGUUCCUAAGUUGUGUAGACAGUGUCGGGAUCUAGAUGGAUGAGCGUAUGGACAACUGAGAGCAUAAGCAAGAUGGGGCUGUCACAGACAUACUUCGAAGGGGUCAUCAAAAAAAAGAGCAUAAACAAAAAUUGAUACAAACCACUAGCCAGCGUUGGUGGGACUGUACUGUACUUGAGAUCCUGUUGCCCCAACCACAGAAUCUGUUUGGAAAAUUCUGGAACUAGCAACCCAAGAAUGGGCAAUUGAGAGAAGAUUAGGAGAUGGUGCCUCUUAUCUUUCUACCUUCCUAAAAAAAUAAAUA
rnacentral:sRNA from 1 species